rnacentral:rRNA from 1 species
AGAGUUUGAUCAUGGCUCAGGAUGAACGCUGGCGGCGUGCCUAACACAUGCAAGUCGAGCGAUUCUCUUCGGAGAGAGCGGCGGACGGGUGAGUAACGCGUGGGUAACCUGCCCUGUACACACGGAUAACAUACCGAAAGGUAUGCUAAUACGAGAUAAUAUGCUUUUAUCGCAUGGUAGAAGUAUCAAAGCUCCGGCGGUACAGGAUGGACCCGCGUCUGAUUAGCUAGUUGGUAAGGUAAACGGCUUACCAAGGCGACGAUCAGUAGCCGACCUGAGAGGGUGAUCGGCCACAUUGGAACUGAGACACGGUCCAAACUCCUACGGGAGGCAGCAGUGGGGAAUAUUGCACAAUGGGCGAAAGCCUGAUGCAGCAACGCCGCGUGAGCGAUGAAGGCCUUCGGGUCGUAAAGCUCUGUCCUCAAGGAAGAUAAUGACGGUACUUGAGGAGGAAGCCCCGGCUAACUACGUG